GAUGAACGCUGGCGGCGUGCUUAACACAUGCAAGUCGAGCGAACAGACGCGGAGCUUGCUGCUCUCACGUUAGCGGCGGACGGGUGAGUAACACGAGGAUACCCUACCUAUCAGACUGGGACAACUUCGGGACACCGGAGAUAACACCGGAUAAGAUACUGAACCGCAGGGUUCAAUAGUGAAAGACGGUUUUGCUGUCACUUAUAGCUGCUUCCGCGCCGUUUUAGGUAGUUGGUAGGGUAACGGCUUACCAAGGCGACGAUGCGUAGCCGACCUGAGAGGAGGAUCGGCCACACUGGAACUGGGACACGGUCCAGACUCCUACGGGAGGCAGCAGUAGGGAAUCUUCGGCAAUGGGCGGAAGCCUGACGCAGCGACGCCGCGUGAGUGAUGAAGGCCUUCGGAUCGUAAAACUCUGUUAUUAGGGAAGAACAGAUGUGUACGUAGAUAUGGAGGUCUUGACGGUACCUGAUCAGAAAGCAACGGCUAACUACGUG
rnacentral:rRNA from 1 species